rnacentral:rRNA from 1 species
ACUCCUACGGGAGGCAGCAGUGGGAAUAUUGCACAAUGGGCGCAAGCCUGAUGCAGCCAACGCCGCGUGUGUGAAGAAGGCCUUCGGGUUGUAAAGCACUUUCAGUCGUGAGGAAGGUAGUGUAGUUAAUAGCUGCAUUAUUUGACGUUAGCGACAGAAGAAGCACCGGCUAACUCCGUGCCAGCAGCCGCGGUAAUACGGAGGGUGCGAGCGUUAAUCGGAAUUACUGGGCGUAAAGCGCAUGCAGGUGGUUUGUUAAGUCAGAUGUGAAAGCCCGGGGCUCAACCUCGGAAUUGCAUUUGAAACUGGCAGACUAGAGUACUGUAGAGGGGGGUAGAAUUUCAGGUGUAGCGGUGAAAUGCGUAGAGAUCUGAAGGAAUACCGGUGGCGAAGGCGGCCCCUGGACAGAUACUGACACUCAGAUGCGAAAGCGUGGGAGCAAACAGGAUUAGAUACCCUGGUAGACAUCA